rnacentral:rRNA from 1 species
UACGUAGGGUCCGAGCGUUGUCCGGAAUUAUUGGGCGUAAAGGGCUCGUAGGCGGUUUGUCGCGUCGGGAGUGAAAACCUACAGCUUAACUGUGGGCUUGCUUUCGAUACGGGCAGACUUGAGGCAUGCAGGGGAGAACGGAAUCCUGGUGUGAGCGGUGAAAUGCGCAGAUAUCAGGAGGAACGACCGGUGGCGAAGGCGGUUCUCUGGGCAUGUUCGUGACGCUGAGGAGCGAAAGUGUGGGGAGCGAACAGG